GGCUGUAAUGAUGAUGUUCCCAUUAAUCUGUUGAGAGGAGCAUAUUUUCCAACGUUAGUUCUGGUAAAGGAGGGAAAGAAAAUUUUAUUAUUGGGAUGUCUAGGAAUAGAUCUAGGGCCGUUGAUGUUGAUUCGCUGGAUCACAUUUGAACAACUCACUUGCCCAUGUAGAAUCUUGUGAAGCGUUUUCAAGUCAUAAAUUUUUCGUCGCAUCUUGAGAGCGCUUAACCCUUUAACCGCUAUGUCAUAAUUCGCGUGAAGUGCCUGUAGCGUCCAGCAACCUUUAGGUACAACUUUGCAUAGUGUUGUAAAGUAUAGUUAUCGAUGAACAAAGUAAUGAAAUAAAUAAAAAUUACCAAAUUUUAAUCAAAGAUCGGAAGAGCACACGACUG